AAUCAAUUCGGGCAUUUGAGCGUGCGAUUUUCCAUUUAAAACCAGUUCGAACGUGCAAUGGUCACCCAGCUCCGUUUCCGGGGGGUGGUGGGAGGUGGGGAUUUGGUGGGAUUUGGAAUGUGGAGAGGGAGAGCUGGGUCUGUGCAGACCAUCCGCACACUAUUGUACUUUGCUUAUCGCCAUUUGGCGCAAAUUUCAUUUGUAUAAAAGGAUUUGCACAAGGAUAACAAACUGACAUUCAACAUAACCUCAAACAAACGAGACGGCAGACGGAACAAAGCUGAAAAAACGACGAGGCGAAAUGAAACGGACGAACAGCGAAUGAAUGGAUGAAGUAAGCAGCGCAAAUGACCAGCGACAAUGACGUUCGCAAAACAGGAGCCAGCGGGAGAAAUGGUUAAAAAGUGAGGAGGUAGGUUUGCCCGGCAGCCGGGUGAUGUGGCUCCAGGGGUGGCCAGGGAUGGGCUCUGGCGGAAUGAAGUGAAGUGAAAAAAGGCAACGCCGCAGGACGACCAGUGCGGUGGUGACAGCACCAGGACCGAAGGACCAAAGGACAGCGUAAGUUGAAAUCAUUUGUUGAUGCCAUGAUGAUAAUUCGAUUAUGUGACAUGGAGCGGUAACACGGGAGCCGUUUUAUACGUGGUUGAAACCCAACCCCCCCUAUCCCCACUAGGUGGCUGGGAAACUCUAUUUUACGAUGGCGAACCCGACGCAGCGAUCUGUUGUUCAAUCGCGUACCCAUAGCUGGGGGUACCCCACUCAGGCGGGCAUGAGUCGGUCAUCUUCUGGCCCACUCACUUUCACGCCAGGCUUAGGCGGUCUUUUUUCGAGGUUCUGCCUGCUUGCUCAGUCCCGAACGCAUGUUGCUAUCAUUGGCAUACUCGGUGCCACAUUCACACUACCGGCGACAUGUGGCUCAAUGCGAGCGGGUGACAAACGUUCGCUCUCACGGAAAAUCGUAAUUUCUGGCAAAACGAGCCACGGCAGAUGGGAAUCCGCAAAUGGGAAGCCCACAAGAGCAUAGUUUGUGCUAACCCACGACGGUUUCCCCAGCCCCGUCUCGACUUGUGGCCAUACUUUUGACCCUGUCCCUUCGUGUGCGGCCCUUCGUGAUAGCGUGAAUAAUGUCUGCGUCAUUUUUUGUACAUAUACACACAUUUGUGGAAAUGUGCGGAUGAGUAUUAAAGAUGCCCACUAAGCGUAUACGGAAUGUUAGAUUUAUUUAAUGUCAAGAUCCCGCCAUAUGUGAGCGGGAAAGCGGAAAAGUGGAACGGCGGAAGGCAGGGGGUGCAUAAAUGCCCAGGGAGAAGAUCCCCAAUCCAGUCGCAAAGGUUAAGCCGAGAGUUCGGGCGAGCUCCACAGUUGACUGCCUCGUUAAGGGGGCGUGGCAGGGCGGGUAGUUUUUAUGACCGAAACGUGUGGCGAAAGGGAUGGCAGCAGUGGCAGUAGUAUUUGUGUGUGAAUAAUUAACGAACGCGUAAUAGCAGUUAGCAGUAGGAGCAGGGCCAAUGACUGAUAUAAAUUCACACAAGUUAAUGGGCCCUGGAUGCUUUUAAAAAAAGGAGGCGCUCCGGCACUCCGGCUCUCCAGCUCUCCGGAAGCGUUUGGAGGGUGAUGCGUUGAAAGUGCUGCUUGGUCAUUAAACGUAAUGGCAGACACGACAAAGUAUGCCACGAUAAAUGGCAUCCACCGCCCACGCGGGGUCAAUUUAUCGGCGGAAUAGAUCACAAAUAUGUCUGCCUUGGCUCGUUUCUGCCCCGCAAACGACUCAAUCACUUCUGUAGGAUCUCUCAUCCCUGUUACCCAAACUUUCAGCCGAAUUGCAGCAUUCGAAUAAACUCAAUGAGCUCUUCGCCGUCAUAAGCUCUAACCCCUUGGAACUUUCAUGUGCUCGGCUCUUGUCAAUUGAAACUCCUUCUUGGCCAGCUACUUACUUUAAUGGGUUGCGACAUAAAAUUUCGUUUUAUUAAUUUCAUUCCAUUUUAUUACAUUGACAUUUUAUGCAAAAUGGGGAUUACGCCUGCGGUCGUUUUAUGAACCCGAGAGUAAAUCUCUUAAAUUAAAAUAGCACAGCAGCCAGCGAGCGUGGUGGUGGUAUUGGCGAUAUUUUAGCAGCCCAGUUACAUCCAGAACAAUAAAAAUAUAAAUAGUGUUGCAAGAGCAGCUGGCAGUAAUGUCGAUGGUAUAAUGUGUUGUGUGUUUCGUUUCUCUUGGUGUCAACCCCUCCAGGCCACAAAAGUACGGCAACAAGCUGGCGCCACCACCCCCGGGAGUGCAAGAGAAAUGUGAUUUAUGCUGCGUGCAAUUUAACAUUUUUAAUAAUAUUAAAAUUACAAAUUAUACACAUCCCCAUCCAUCCUCUCGUGUGUGAGCUCCAAGGUGUCGUAGUCCAAUAAACUCCCUAAGUUGGCAGGACGAAAGCAGGCCAAAAGUGAAUGGGGCGAGUGGCUGGCUUGAUUUAAUUUUAAUUGGCUUUCCAGGCGGCUGGUUUUCACCCUACUGGCCCCCUACUUCACUCUCAGUGCGCCUGAAGAUGGAAAUAGGAGGAAGCGCUGUGCAAAAGUGCUCGACCCUACGAUACCCAGUUCUCUAAUAUGGUAAAGCUAGUCUAGCACAUACAACCUGAAUAACCUUUUACCAAUACAGUUAAUAGCACCAUUGCUGUUCAGGGAAGAAUAUUGUCCUCAAAUGGCAAACAACUGACUUUUUCUCGUUGUAACUAAAAACGAUGUCAAGAGUGGAAUCGCGGAGUUAACAGACCGAGGAAUUAGGCGUAUGGAGAACUUAUGAAGCCAGCCCCAGGAGAGCGAAAUCCAAUUGAGAUUAAGUGCGCAGGCAGUGGUUUUUUAAGGAUUUUGGCUGAGGUCCCAUCCCAUGGGUACACGCAACAAUUGUGUGUUAAGUACUUUUUGAGUAAUUGCCUUUUCGGGAGUCCAGCAAACUUGCUUGGUCCUGGCUACAACAAAUUUGGCCGUUAAUGAACAUUUGCUAAUAUUUUGAGCACUGAAAAACAUAGUCAUUAAAUGGUGUGCCAUGCCCCAGCUCCCGGUCCGCCCUCGUCCGGGGCGCCAAAGCGUGCGACAAUCAAAUAAAAGUACAUGAAAAACACAUAAAGGCACAUAAAGGGGUAUCCAGCUUGGGCUCUUGAUUUUUUGUUGUGCCUCGCAUUUGAAUGGUAAAGCGCGACGAUUGCUGGAAACAAACAGGUGAACGGCGGGGAAGCGUAGUCCCGCCAUGUUCGUAAUGGAGUUUGCAAACAAACAUGGCCGCCGGGGAAAAAUCACAUAAUUUACACGUUUGCAUUUAAGUAUUAAGUGGGCUGGGAAAUUGGGGGGAUGGGGCGGCAAAGUGUUUCGUUUACUUUUACCGCGUUUGUUUGCGAGGCUCGGCAGUUGUUCUGCUGAAUGUGUGUAUAGGUAUUUUAGGUUGUUUUCGGGCCCCGACUGAGUUUUAUGUGCACAGGAAGCAAUUUUUGGGUCGACUUUAUUGCCCCUGUCGUCGUCAUCGGUGUUGAUGUUGAUUUUAAAGCGUUUAAUGGCCUCGCGUUUUAGUGUGUCCUGGCCUAAAUUGAAAAGAAAACCCCGUACAGGUUCCGGACGAGCGAAAGAUGAAGAUUCAGCAGCAGGAAGGAGAUCUGGGGUUAUAUGUUUGAACUAAGUGCUGGGAUUUUCGAGAUUUGCGUUGGAAUUUUGUGCUGUUGUCAGCGAAGGGAUGUGGAAAGGAGGUUAUGAUGUAUUCACAAUGAGGCGAAGGGCUGCGAGCGUUGGGGUGGAAAUGUAUGAUACGAAGUGGCUCGCAUCGCAUGUAAUUGUAACUUGUAUUCCCUAUGCAUAUUCACCCGCAUUCACGGACCAGUUAUUAAGCUAGUAUUAAUGCAGAAAUACUGUGAUUGGCGCUCCCGCUCAAUUCGCUCCAUUCGCAAUAACGACCGUACGUGGGCACAAAUUGCGAUACUGCGAAUAGCUUUUUCUGACUGCUAUCCUCCUUUUCGUUGCGUCCUUUGUUGUUUGGCUGCUUAUAAUCAAAAAUUCCAUUUAAAACUUUAAACUCAUUACUGAAUGUUUAAUGUGCGCUCGUUUCAUGCUCGCCCUGCUGUUGUUAUUUUUAUUGUUGCCGCCGCUCUUGUGCGAUAAAUCAACACGAAAAAUUCUGCAAUUUGUUAGGCGCGCGAAGACGGGAGGACAGUCAGACAGACAAGGACAAUAAACGACUUGGGUCCGGGAGCGGUCUCUCUAACGAUGCGGCAACCUGUCGACGUCCGUGAAGAUACCCCAAAAGGGUCGUAGUCCUCGGUGCCAUAUUGUUUCAAGCAGGCGGCGCACAGCGGGCGACCUGAGCACCGCCUUAAGCUCUAAUCAAGUGUGUGUCUGGGUGAGUGAGUCGCGGCUUUAAGAAUGGAUCCGGAUUGGCAUUCGGGUUCCGUGUUCCGUGUUCGGGGUUUUGGGUUCCGGGCUUCGUAGUCCGUACGCCGGGAUCCGGAGGCUUAAAAGCACAGCCGAGAUGAGUGUCACGCGGGUGGGGAGUAAACUUUCGGCACGAUUUGCAUGUAAAUUAAUUGCCCUCGCCGUGUGCCCGUGGCCCGCAGCCAUGCAGCGUGAUUUUUUCCAGCUUAAACAACCCUCAGGGCGAGAUAAGUCGUAUAAAUUAUAGCAAUUUAAUAAGUUUUAAAUAUACGCAUCCGGAUGACUCCGCCGCCUCGGUCUCUGUUUGUCUGUCUCCCAAAAAGUUGGUAAAAUCUUGCAGCAAAGUUUACGGCGCACUCUACCUCAGAACCCAAAACUCAGAAACCAGAAUCCAGACUCCAGACUCCAGUCGCCUCACUACAGGUUGCUCUGGCUCCGUUCUGCGCCUGGUGCUAUAACUCAAGACAAAAACUGUUGCCGAUUAAAAUUGUCGGUUGGGCAUUAAUUUUAUGUCACGAUGCGCUCGCAGCCGAUGUGCCGUGUGAUAAGGUGGCGAAUCCCCCGCUUCUUCGGGUGCCCUUGGCGUUCUGCGUUCCUGCCUGGCUGUCUGGGGUGGCUCUUAACGGUUCAGUUUUGUUCCCGCUCUAAAUGAGUUUAUGCAAGUGUGAAAAUAAGUCUCUUAAUGGCCCGGGCGGGCAGUUAAUGAGUUGAAAGUGGCGGGGCACGUGGAUAAUGCUCCUUUGUCGGCCCUAAGGACUUCCACCGGAGCUCCUUUCAUUUUUCUUUACUUUUUCGGGUUGCGGAAAGGGGAGAAACAAAACUUAAUUUGUUGUUGCAGGUGAGACGAAUAAAUUAUUUGAUAACAGUUUCAGUUUUCCCAGCAUAAAUAAGAUUUCUGAAGCGUUUUCUCGCCUCGCUGUUUGCCAAAGAGACGGGGGUCGCGGUGGGCGGCUUGGGGGCUUGGUGGGGCUGGUUUGUUUACCGUUAGUCGCUUAAUGCCCGGCUUAAUAGCGUAGGGUGGCUUAAGCGUUGUCUAUUCCGAUUCAGUUUGUUUGACCCGCUCAAAUAUUGCUUCAUAUUAAAUUUUUUGCGGGCGGAGCGAGCCCGGCUCGAACCCUUUUCUCGCCAAUCAGCAGUCCCACAUGUAAUUGGAUACGUAAGGAUAACCUUUCAGUGCCCAGGGGUCCUGGACUUUUUGCGCCUGCGAACGCUGGCCUUCCAGGACGACUGUCUGCAUGCAAUUACAAAGCAAAAGUUUCGCAUAUAAUUUUUACAAAAACGCAAAACUUUUUCAAUAACAAAAAUUUGCACAAACAAAAAGAAAAAUGACCGGGCAGAAAGAGCAAUAGAGAGCGACACAAAUGGCAAUGCCAAAAGGCAACAGUGAAAAAGUUUGCAAUAAAAACGCCAAUGGCCAGAACGACGUCACACAAGUGCUCAUUGAGGGGGCGUGGCUGGAGCUAGGAGGCGGUGGGUACGUGAGGUGCCUGAGCAAUGCAAAUGUUUAAUAAACUUUUUCAAAUAAAAAUUUAUCUACAGUGACGUGCAAUUUCUAGACCAAUUAAACCGCCAGGCAGCGCACCGUAAGGAGAGGGCACUUUGAGCUGGCAGGACACGGCAUUGUCCUUGCUUCGAGAUACGUGCUCCGCACAGGAUCCUCUGAACCUCUCUCGAAAGGGUCGAAAUUCGCUUAUAAUUAUUACGCGUGUAAAUUAGUGCUUAAUGGCACGAGGAUGCGCGCCUUGACUGCAGCUCGGCAUUUCCGGUUUUAAAUUUAAUUAGCUCGAUAUGCUUGCAUAAUUUGGAUAAGGGCAGGUGAGAGAUGAGGCCCGCUUUUGGCAAACUAAUAACAAUAAUUGCGAUAAAGCCAGCAUUAAAUGCAGUGCAAUAAAGGCGGGAAAAAAGUAUAUUUUAAUUACGCAUUUAAAUUUGUUUGCUUGUUGUUAUUGGCGCCGUGGCGAAGGUAAAAAUAAAUGCGGGGGCUGCCUUUUGUUUUCGAUUUAAUGAACUGUAAAGCGGAGCCAUAUUUAUAGCGUACUUUUUUGCGUUAUUGUUUAUUUGCACGUUUAUAUUUUUUUUUGGCUUCGCCGUUUUUUUUGCCCGGCAUUCACCUUUAUCAUUUAAAUGCAUUUAAUUUAUAUUACUGUAAGCGCUGUUUUAUCAACGUUAUUAUUUGCAUUAUUUUGUUUUCUCCCCUUGAUUUUCAGAUCGCAGGUCGCUUUCCUAUAUUUUAGUCAAUAAACAUUGUCUGCCCUAUCGCAUUUAUUUGAAAGUAGUUGUGCGCUGCAGCCUGAGACUUCGGAAAGUGGAUUUUUUCGACUGAUCUGGUCUUUAUUUACUGGCUUGGGGUGCGGGAAUUCGUCAUAUCCGUGACUGGCAUAUAAUCAUUAAACGGCAGCUGCCUGUGCGGACAUCAAUUAUUGUCUCAUAAAAAGUAAUUUAUAUUAAAAUCAAACCGCUUAUAAUUUCAUUAUGUUGAUAUAUACAGGCGAGCGGAGCCAGUGGGGAGCAAUGCGAUGCGCGGCCAUUAAAGUUUGCCGCGGCAGACAUUUUGUAAUAAAGUUUGUGUUAAUUAACGCACACAGCUGCAAAAAGCAGUGAGCGGGCGCAUAUCUCGACAGUGGAUGCCACCUUCAUCAAACUCAUGCUCCUUGUGUGCCCCUGGUGCCAGGAUAUGCACUUGCAAUAUUUAAAUUCAAUUGCAUACUUUCGAGCGCACUCGUUUGUUUGGCCGGCCACAUGGCGCAUACUUAAUGAACCAUGGCCUGUUCCGCUGCAUAUUUUAUUUGCACUCUGUCCUGCGACUGAAAUACCUACAUAAAAAUAACAACGCGCCGGGAGCAGCGGAGCAUUGGGCUUUUUCCAUCCAUAAACGGCACUAAUAAAAAUCAUAGCGAAAAAAUUGGUUUGCCAUUAUAUUUAAUAAAUUUAAACCGACGGCGACAACGGGUCGGGAGGGAGAGUUGUGAGGAAGAGCGAAAGGAAAAACGCAACAAAUCUCGGAGCGACUUGGUGAGUGUGUGAAAUCGCCAAUUGCCUGCCUGGUGGCUGGUGAGAUGGGGUCAAUUUCAGUUGGGUGAGCCCAUGGAUGAGCACGGAAAAGCUGAGCGGAUACAGCCCCCCGUCGGCCGGACAGGGAUCUCGACUAAUCUCGACUACGGCUUGAAAACGGCCCCUUCCUGAGGGUCAUCUACUAAUCACCCGUUCUUGGGGCGGGCAAAUAGAUUAAGUGUGAUUAAAAUUGUCAUUAACAUUUCCCUGGGCUUUGGCGUGUCAAUUAAUAUUACUUUAGUAUUAUUGCCAAUAAUUGUCAUAAUUUCUUUUUUCUGUUUAUUCUUGCGUUUUACACUAAACCUGCCAUUAUUUAUGAGUGCUCGUUGUCGUUUUGCCAAUUCUGCCUUUUCGCCAUUUUUACGGUAUUUAAUUGUUUUAAUUGUGUGCAACAAUGGCCAUUAAAUAUGCGCAACAAAAACAGACAUAAGAGCAGCCAAAGCUGAAAUGGGUUUGACAUUAUGAAAUUUAUGAAAUUAAUAACUUUUCUAUGCCGGGCUCUAAUUGUCAGGCGAAUUAAUUAUAUUACAAUUUAAGUUUUUUAGGCGUUCACCGCUCUAACCCCAAAACCCCUUAAAUUGUGGUCAGCUGUAAAGUUGAUGGCCGCUGGAAUUGCCUUUGAGCCGAUGGCCACAGAGUUAUGAGCUCCAAUAAAUUAAUGUAAAAUUAUUAACUGACAAACAGCUAAAUUAUGGCAAUUUAUGCUGGCCCAUAAACUGGCGCAUUUAUUGGCCGAUAACCAAGAGGCCAUGACGCGAAGUGUUGGCAUACAUUAAUAUUAUUAUCGGCGACACUAAUUCGGAUUAGCAAUUCCGACUUUAAUGGACUUUAAAUUGCCUGUUGUACCACUAGAAACUAUUUCGUAUUCCUUUCUCGAAGAGAAAACAUUUACUAGUACGGAUAUACUACAUAUAUGUAUGUAUAUAAACAUAUUACAAAAUAUACAGAAAGACGCCUUAAAUGUGGGGGUUCCUGAUUUUAUUAUGUUUCAAUUUGCAUUUUUCUGCAAAAGUUGCAUUCAUAGCAAUCAUUUUCAAAGUCAACAGCGUUCCUGCCCGUUUUCCCAUUUCCACUUUUCCGCCACUGCUGUUUUCUUGCGAAAUUAUUUAUUACGAUCAUGGUGUGUUCGCCCCAAACUAAGCCCCUGCCCCUCUGCUGCACUUUAAAAGCCAUUAAAACGGCAAACAGGCUAGCCGAGUUGUCCAUGGAAUCCAUGAAAGUGCCCCACACACCCCUUCGCUCUCAGCAAACUGCCGGCCCCGUUAAUUUCAUCAGAGCUACUGGUAAUUGCGUGUAUGGAGUUGCAGUUCCUGGCCAGGACAGCAGCAGGAGCAGCAUCAGUGCCCAGAAGUCCGGCGCAGACUGUCGGUGUUUUGGGUCCUGUUUUCCCGUCCAAAAAAUAUGCAAUAACAGGAGGCUUGGGAUUGGGCACUGGGCACUGGGAGCCACAAGAGUGGCUCUGGCCGGGAAUGGGCCUUGUGGCACGCGGAAUGCCAUUGCCAUGGCCCACAGACUGGCUACAAUUUAUUAUAUUAAGUAUUAAUGUUGGUCCCCGCUUGGAUCCCUGUGUGCGUCUGCCGAGUUGAGCUGUGUGUAUGUGCUGUAUGCAUAAUCCGAAAGCCAAAAGUAAUUAUAUUAAGUAAUUGAUGAAUUUGCCUUUUUCCGCGACGAGCCACGCCCACCCCGCGUCUUCAGUUAUCGGGGAAGGAGAGCCUGGGGAGUGCAGGAAGUGUGGGUUGCGUUAUACGGCCAUACCAGACGAUUGGCAGACAGAAGGAUGUGGAUAGAUCGCAUAGUUCGACCCCAGGCAAAGGCGAAUAAAAUUAAAUAAAGCGGCAAAUAAAAAUGUAUUGUGUGGCAUUUUAGGCGCACUGCGAUGUUGCCAAACGACAUUUCAUAGAGAUACAAUGACCGGCAAUUUUUUGAUUUGGUCAUCUGAUAGGCGGCUGUUUCCGGUCGACGGGACAGAAGCUCUGAGCUAAGCUUUAAGCGCUUUAGAUAUACAAUGGAGGCGCUUUUUUCAGCAUGCGCUCGAAGAUUUAUACGCACAUUUAAAAUUUGAUUGAAAUAAAUGACUCUGUUUAUGGUGAUAUGCACUCGCAAGCGCGGAUAUACAAAAAAGCCAGUUGAUGAGCUUUUGUGGGGUUGCACUACAAUUUUGGGGGUUGCGUGUCAUCUUGAUGGAUUGCACUGAAACAGCCUUAAGGUUUUAAAUGGAAUAAGCGGAUUUUGGGGUCUGGGGUGCUUGACAAAUGGAGAGUACUGCUGGGCACAACUUCACGCUUUUAUGUUCAUUUAGAACUGCAAGCCUGUGGAAACUCAUUAACAAAUCGAUGUGAAUGACUCUAAAGGGUAUAGAAAUUGGCAGAAUUGGAUUUUAAUGGUCACUUAUCAGAGGCGUCGAAGACAAUAAACUCUGGAAUAACCAUUCGCCAUUCGGAUGCGAGCGAAUAAAAUGAUGCCGGAACCCAACGUUGCCGCACUUAUCGCUAAGGAGCGUUACCAACGACCAGGGGCAUAAGCAAUCGCCAAACACAGAAACAGAACAGCACUAGAAGCCGAAGGAGCGGCAAAAAGAACUUGCGAAAAUUUAUUGGGGAAAUUGGCCAAAGACGAGGAAACUUUAACGAAACGAUACCGAAGUUUAUUACUCAAUUACAAAACCAUCAAACUGAAAACAAAAUGAAACGAAACUCUUGCCGAGAGCAGAGCGAAAUCCAAAGAUAAAUGAAAUUGAUAAGCGCGUAAUUUAUGUUUGGAUUUCGUUUUAUUCUGUCAUUAACGCACAGUUGCCUCACCCAGUUGAAUUGACCCCAUCCCUCCAAUUGUGCUUUGUAUUUGGGUUGUUCUUGGUUGGGUUCCGACUUGGCACGCUCUUCCUUCAUUUGCGAAAACUUGGUCAAGGCUAGGCGAGUUUUCCUCCCCCAUUUCGGAAUUUCCCCGCACCGCGGUGAAAUUGGGAAUGACACUGGUUUGGGCCCACAUAAUCGAUCAAAAUCGACCGAGUGCAAACGGCGUUAAACGGCCUAGACUAUUGCAUUCUAUAAAACCGAUCGGAAUUUUGCAUUUUGUGGCUCCGAUUCGGCAGGGUCUGUAUGUGCAUGUGCAUUAUGCUGCCACGCCCACCAGCAUUAUGCAUAAAUAAUUUCGAAGCCGGCGGUCGGGCAGCAACAAAGGCUGCCGCUGCACAUAAUGAAAAAUUGAAACAUGAAAAUUGUCAAAAACACCGACGCAGCAGAGGCAGCUGGGUGAUUUGUGCUGGAUUGGGGAUGGCUUUGGGUGGGGCAAGGGGCACAUUACCUGUCAGGCCUUCCCGGAAAUGAAAUUUUGCACUGAUAGCAGGGGAAGUGGAGAAGUGGAAGAAUGGAGAAGGGGGGCCGGUUCAACCGCAUACAUCAAUGAAUGCAUGGGGAAUGCACGGGGAAACGAGGAGCGAUUCGGAAGGGGCAGGCUGACGAUUUUGACAAUUUUCGUUAUGCAAUAAAAAUGAUGUGCGGCGACAAAACUGUGCUACCCACUCACCGUUCAUCGCUUAUACAAACCGUUAUACUGACACAUUACCCAGAGCCCUGUGCAUUUGUAAUGCUCUGAGGCAUGGGCCUGCGACAUGUAACACCCCACUUAUUCUGGCCACCCGGAAAAGCGCAAGGAAAAAGCGCCAUUCAAUGGACAUUUCAUUAAUGCUAAAUGCGGGCGAACGAGCUUUAGAAAUCGGCUUGGCAACGUUUCUGCGCGAGCCGGAAGUUAAUUGAAAAUGAUGAUAACGCAUAUGGAAAUGUAAUUGUUUGUGAACUGUAGCAUGCAAGCCGCAGGAGGAUUGAAUUACUCGGUGCUCGGGAGGGAUUUGGGUUUUAAAGCCGCCCCAAGUGGCUGUUCACAUAAAUACAUGUCCCGACCACGUUGAGUGAAAUGCAUUAGCAGACGUGUUCACUCUGUUAGCAGCUGUCCGCCACGCACUUCGCGUGAAGAAGGCCGCCAAGAUUCCUGGCUCACCAAAAUCCACUAAAUCAAUUCAAUUUAAUUACAAAUCGUUUUGCUGUGCCCACCUCCUUUCCAAUGGCAACCAAUUAGCCAACUGCCUCGGUGUUGGAAACGCGUUUGGGUAGCUUACUUUUCUGCGUUCGCCGCGGAGGAGAAAAAAUUGCCUUUUAAUCAGCGCCCCCGAUGUCGGCUUAGCUGCUGAUUGGAUUGGUUAUGGAGGUAAAGGUGGCCGAGAGACAGUGCUUUUUGUUGCCUUUGUGUAAUUAAAUCGGAGCCAGGGCAACUGAAACCAGGCGAAUCAAAUCGACGACAGCUGAGAGCAAGGACGACAAGCGCUGCAAGGAAACAAAGAACCGAAAAACGCUUGCCAAAUUAUCCAAGUGCUAAAUUCGGCAUUUUGCGGUAAUAAAUCUUCACUCCACUUCAGUUUAAAGAAUUUCAAUUUUAUUUUCGAGUUCAGUUUGAGUUCGGCUGCCGCAACCACAUACAAAAGUAAUUAGGAGGCAUUUUUCACGGUUCGCCCGUUUCUUUCGCCGAGCUUAAUUAAAAUGGAUAUUUUCCCUGUGCCGCGAUAUUCAUUUAUUUGCGCGUUUCCUUGUGAUUUGAGUGUUGCGGUAAUUAAAAUGACAUUAUUCAAAGUGACUUCAGCUAAAAGGGUCGACCCAGAGAACUGGUCCUAAAGGUCGUUGUAAGCGGCUUGUUUGUCGCCCAGAUAGGCGUUUAUUGCUUAGCGCCAAAGCGGACUAUCUAGAUGGCCCGUCCCUCGAACUCCUUUGAGAACUCCUUUGUAGGAAGAUACAAAAUCAGAAAGCGAUUAGUCCAAGAUUUCACUUUUUUGGUUCCGAAGUUGAGAUGGGUUCUCUCUACUGCUCUUUCCAUAUGGAAAACCUCUCAGUGGAUGGGAAUAAUUCAACGCACAGGCAAAUUUAAUCCGCGUACAUCGGCGCCUGAGUUCAAUAAACUUUUAUCUAGUCCAGAAAUCCAUUAACGCCCUCUAGUUGUGAUCGAUUUGCAGCGCCGAUAUGUCCGGCGAACACGAGAUUUACUGCCUCGCAAAAAACGAACACGCACCGAAGUGCGCCAUGAAAAAUUGAAUAGAGUGUGAAGCAUCUGCAUUCCCUCAGCUCCCAAGCUGAACUACUAUUUUUAAUCACUUCAGCAGUUUCAUUUUUUGCUGCUCCCGUUUGUUGCUCCUCUUCAUUGUCUACUGCCUAAAGAGCAAGCACAAUGACAACAUUUAAUAGAUUGCCAAAGCCAAAGCCCAGGCCGAUGGGCGGUGGGCGGUCGGUGCUGGAUGGUGGGCGUGUCUGUCUGGGGCUUGGCAUAGAAAAAUGCCUAGGAAAAGCAAGCAAAACGCAUAGAAAAAGUUCCUGGUAUAGACAAAGAAGUCGGCACCCCCACCGACCCCCCUUGAUUUAUUUUUUUGAUGGGCCACGAGUUGAACAAGGGGUUAACUGCGCUAUGAGUCACUGCAUGAAUGACUUGUUGUGGAGUAGCAGAGGUUUCAGGGUAUUUAUAAAGAUAUUUCUCUGCCGGCUGUUUGCUGAUUUCGUACGCUGAUAAGCAUGAAAAGGGCCCAAGUCCUUCUUUUUUUUCAUAUUCCCGGGAAUGCAUAUAAAUGAGGGGGUUUCCUUAGAGUGGGGUUGGGAGGAGUUUCAUUUUAAGGACGUUUAACGGCAUUUUUACACUUGCAUGCGUCAUCGUAGUAACCUUUCCGUUUGUUCGUGCGUGGCUCCAAGUGUUACACAUUUGCAUUUGACGUGUUUCUAUAUCCGUACCGGUUUUCCCUUUCCUCCCUGCAAACUGUGUGCAAAAAAUAGUUCGGCUUUCAGUUAUGAAAAUGGCGCAGUUUUUCUUUUGGCAGUUGUUGCGUGGCUUUUCCAGACGCUGCUUAUAAUUGCUCCAUUAAAAUUUGUUUAUGGCAAAAGUUUAUGCCGUAAGUGAAGUUUCCCUGGCUUUGCUGCCAGUAAUUAGAAUGUCGGUAAGUUGCCAUAGUGUGACGCUACUUUCGGCCCACUUAGCGCUAUUCGCUGUAGCGUUACUCGCAAUCGUGGUCUAAAUAUUUGUGGUACUACCCCCAUCAAGGUACCGUUUCUUGGCACAUUGAUGGAUCGCUCGUUUGAGAUUCGCACUCAGCAUCCCUCGACUCUCACUUUCGUCGUUUUACUCUUCGCUCCCCUGUAAUUGGCCAAGAUUGAAUGACCCAAAGCCGACCCGACGCACCAUUUGUUAGAUGACUCAUGCAAAAAUGGGACCCACAUCGGCUGUCCUUUCUUGACCCAUUCCAAAACAUCUGCUCCAUCAAUUGGCAAAGGUCAGCAAAGGUUAGUGGGGUGUUGGAGGUUGGGGCGGUUCUUAAUGGAGUUUUAUUUUUAAGCCGUGCCUAAAAGCAUGCUGUAGAGCUCGGCCCGCUCCGUUGUUUGUUUGUGCCUUUUAGGAGGAAAUUUAAUAUCAUCGUCUGCGUCCCGAAAUGCACACUAAAAGGUUACACGACGCUUUUAAUUACACUUUAAACAAUAGCUGCACGCAGUCAGCUCCUGAACUUUGGCUUACCAUGGGCAACCCAUUUGAUUUCCUUUUGCAUUCCCCUCUUGGAAAUUGCUGGCGUUUGCGAUUUGCGCUUGAUUAAAUUCUAAUUAUAAAGCGUGCGUAUUUUCGGUCGGAUCCCUCCUAUUCCGCCUGUCCAUUUUCCCCAUCUCUAGUUUCGGUUUCCCUUUUGAGCUGGUUGUUUACCAUUUCCCUUGAUUUUUACGACUUUUUAAUGAUUUUCACUGCCAGUCACUCAUUUUGCCACCAUCGCGUGUCCUGCGCUUUCCUUUCGUUGGCUUCACCAAUUUUCUUUGACUUUUGCGUUCUACGUUUCGACAGUUCUACUCGCCCUGGAUUGCUUUUUUGGAUCUUUUCGGUUUCCUUCGGUUCGGUAUUUGCUGGCGUCUGCCCCUCGAAGGGAUGCCCCUGCCCACGGAGUCCCUUCCUGUCCCUGCCCCAAACGCUCCCCAUUUUGUUUACUGCUAAUGCGACUUUUAACGCUGAUUAAUGUUUUCUUUUCAACAGUUCGCCCUUCCAUUUUCCACUCCCAGUGGGCUGGGCUUUUCACCUGUCAGAGGGAGGGCACUUUUCGGAAGGGAGGAGAACAAUCUCCCAUCCUGUUGUUCGUUCAUUAAAUUCAUUUAAAACGUCUACUGCGACCACAAAUAACAUUGGCAGUCAAACAAUUCGGCCGGGAGGCAAACAAAUUGUUUGUUUGGCUGUCACAUGUCAAUAAAAUUAACACUUUAACGAGAGACAGAGUGCACACGAAAUAUACAUAUUUUACACAAUUCACAAUCCAGGCCCGAGAAGAAUCUUGUUCUUUUUCGUUGUUGUUUAAUUAAGGCAACAACAUCCAUAUCAAGGACUUAGUCUGGCAGACAAUAAUUUCCUUGACAGAUGCAAAAUGCAGAAUUUCCCAAGCCAAAUUGAAAUUUAUACAGGAGACACACUGAAUCAGAGGGAGAAUUCGAGAGGAGUAUGCGAGAGGAGGGUUUCGGCUUUUAUGCAAAAUGCAAACACAAAAACAUCGGAAUGCAAAUUGCAUUAAGUGCUCUGUGUGAUGACAGAAGAGGGAGACAGGCAGAUGCAUGGGGAAAGGGAGGGAGAUAUCGCUAGGUGAGAUCAAAUCAUUUGCUAGUAAAUUCAAAGCUAUAACAGCAAAAAGUCAAUUUUUAAUUGAUUAUAAACAUUGAAAUAUUCAUUCUGCCAUGACUUGAAAAAGUGGAAAGCCGAACGGAAAAAGUUGAAAUUCGAUUUCAGUUCUUUGUGGGCAACCAACAUUAAUGGGGAAAAAGUGCCUAAAAGUGCGAUUUGCAAUUUUUCGCCGGUGCGGGGGAGUAAUUAUUAUAUUUUCCAUAAUUUUAAUUAGUUGAUAGUGCAAAAAUAAUCAAAUUGCAUUAUCUGCGGCAGGCUCUUCGAGCCAGCGCGGGGUUGUUAAAGCGAAUCGCCAUGUUAAAGCCUUUUGUACAUGAGAAAUGCCUCGGGGAAUCAUAAAAGAGCCAGGCUAAACGCAGCUAUAUUCACACGCUCGUGUGUGCAUUCAUAAAUGAUGAAUGAAUUGUGCAUAGAAAUUAGGUAAGUAGAUACGCACAGCCACAUGCGAGCACUCGUGGCUUUAAUUGAUGGCUAGAUUUCGAUUUAAUGCAUUUUCCAAAUUGAUAUUAAUCAAUUUUUGGAUUAUUUAUUAGCAUGCAAUGAAUAAGCCCACAGCGACGAUCCGGGAUUGGUUAUUCAGCAGGACCUUCUUCGAGUAAGUCCGUGCAUACCGUGCACUGCAAAUUGAUUUGUGCGGAGUGAGAGUAUUGCUGAGAUGUGUUCUUUGGAAUUUUGGCCAGGCACCUGGAAGUAUGCAAUCGCAUAAUGCACAUAAUGCCAAAAGUCCAUUGUCAACAAACACAUAUUCGUUCCCUCCUCUUCAAGCCCGCAUCCGAAUCCUUUGGCCCGAGUCAAUCCCCAAAGUAUGUGCAUGCAGCUCUCGAAUGUUUGGCUAGAGUUUAGACUGUUCAUGGGCCAACAGGACGACGUGAGCAUCAGAAAUGCCAAUGGAGCUGCAGCCGAGGCAAUAAAAUAUAAAUUUAUGGCCUAUUUGCAUGGCUUUUCGGAACAAUAUCAAGAGCCUCUGUUGACCGGACAACGCAACAAUUCGAGCAUUUUUAUUUGAUGGAGUCCAGACUAACAGCAAAGCCUCAGCCGUAGUAAAGACCCAGGCCUUGGAGCCUAAUGAGCUUUCCCCACAUAUAUGCCAUACUAAUACAUUGGCUGCAUCAGGACAUGUAUGCCUAAAAAUUCUAUAAGAGCCACCAUCAUUUCUCCCAUAUUUCUUUCGAUACCUCUGUGAACAUGUUUGUGAAUUCACUUUAUAUGGCUUGAAUAAAAAGUCAAAUGCGAGAAAAAGUCAAAACCAGCAAUAUUUCUGUCUUAUUGGCAAAGCGUUUGCGGUCUUAACUCGGUUAUGGUUAUGCGUAUUUUUGGCGCUAUAGUUUUUUAUUUAUGCAUCAUGUUCUCAGGGUCUCAGUCCCUAAUAGAAAAUGCAUUCCCAAAGAUUUGGCUGUCAGACUGACUGGAGAGCGGCAAAAGUUUAUGGAAUGCCUGAGGGCGCUUCACUGGCACAUUGAAUGCAGACGCACACUUUCUAAUUGUCUAACUCGAUUUUGGGACCUACAAACUCUGCGUAAACAACCACCACCCUACCCAGUUCCGUUCAAAGUUUAGUGUCAAAUGGGUAAAUUUGAUUACGAUUCUUAGUUGGGUUAUGGUAAUCGAGUUGGAAAUACUUCAAAGUUUCGAUAAUAACGAUGAAGGCAUUGACGGCUCCGCACUGCCUGGAUGCCACGCAAUUUGCCAGCUGCUCCAUUGAAUGGCUUUAACUUAAGUCGAAAUAGUCGUCAUAAUAAAUGAAUAACCAGCCUUGGAGCUCCGCACUGAGGCUGUAGCUGCUUUCUAGCUACUAAUAGCGUGCAAAAGUAUGCCAUGAAAUAUGCAUAAAAUCACUUGCAAAUGCGCUAAGCGAGCGACGUGGCAUGGCGGCUGGCAGAAUCGUUUCAGUUUUGUUGCUAUUCCUGCUGCUGUUGCUACUGCAUUUCGGCAAACGAGCUGCCAAAUCAAAAAUCGUUGAGAGUUGAGGUGUCAGUUGGUGGGAGUAGGCGGCGGCGAGCGGAAAAACGGACGGGGAAAUUCACAUUAGACAGCAGCCAUGGCAGUCGACGUUUUUGGGUGAAAUUGCGUGAAAGGAGCCCGGAGUGGCGACUGGAGCAGCCUGCCUGCCUAAGGGUGGGCUCAAAUGAAACCCAUGCUAGAGUCACCCGGUUGCGUUGGGGGAAAAAAAUGCAGCUCAACAAACGAGAAAUUCUUGUGGGUGUGCGGGCGGUGAGUUUAAUUGGCCCGAAGCCUCAAAUUAUGCAAUAGUUGCAGUCGAAAUUGACCGCAAACAAACCAGCAAUAAUUUUGAAAUCAUUUCUGUGCACCAUAAUUUAUGCAUAAAUUCAAUCUAAAUUAAACAUCAAACAAAGCGGGGCCCAGUGCCCCACCCAUCGCCCUCUUGCGUGUCUGGUGGAUCGUGCAAUGCUCAUUGCGACACAUUCGCACCUGCAAUUAGCUCAAUGAACCUGCCAACCCUCGCCAUUUCGUGUUCUGUCACUCACUGCAGGCGGCAGCUGUCCAAAAUGUAAUAUUUAACGUCAUUUUAUGCAAAUUUAAAUUAUGUUAAUGGGCAGCCAACCGGCAAUUGAUGAUGAAGCCUGUCCAGCUGCAAAAACUGUGCUCCGUUCCAGGCUGAUGAUGAUGACGAGUGGUCCAGUAAAUCAGCAAUCCACUGCACCGAUUUAAGCAGUUUGAAUGUUUGCUACUUGAUAGGCGCCUUCAUUUCAAACUGAUUCUGAUUCCGGUUCCGACCCGGCCGUUGUCUUCGCCCAUUAAUGGCAAUGCGAGUGCUUGACAAGUCAGCACGGCUCAUUUGCAUUUUAAUAAUAAUAAUCACAAUAAUGCACAAUACCAGCAACGAGGAUAACAAUAAGCGUAUGGAAUCGCACAUUCAUCGGGAGGCAAUGCGAUAAGCUGUCGGAGCUGCAGUUCAUCAAGCUUCCAGUGCCCUGAAUUGGAUCCCACAAUGGCACGUUCCAUCUCCUUCGGUGGCAACAGCGUGUGCGGCAUUUACAUCUUUUCUUCUUACCACCCAACCAGCCAACCUUCCAAAUAACCAUCCACCCACCCAACGACUGCAUUUCCCCACUGCCGAGCUCCUGUUUGUUGUCGUUAACGUUUUGUUUAUAUUUGCUUAAAUGUGCGGCGCAUACUCAUAAUUAGCAUGCAUGUGUGCAUCUGGGGGACGCAUCCGGAUGCGUGGAUGUGUCUGUGUCUGUGUCCAUGUCAGCAAUGCCUGGUUGCGCUGCCAUUGCAAUUUGCUUUUGUUUGGUUUAAAAAGCGCGUUAAAUUUGAUCGUUGUUGCCGGCGGCUUUGUUUGCGCUCUCAUUUGCCGCUGAAAGUGCGAACGAGUUAAAGUUCCUUUUAACGCACAACGGCCACCCUUCAUUAUCUCAUUUCUCAGCCCCAUAAAGCCCCAAUAUCAGCCCUGAUUUUCAAUACGAGCACUCACCCGAAGUAACAGGGUCAUAAAAUUGCGUAUACGUACCUAAAAAGAGACAAGAGAAAGAUUGUUAAUUUGGUAGGCAUGGAUGUGGCUAAAGUAAGAUACAUUUGGGAUGGGUUUGGGGUACUGCCAGUGACAACGCCUAAGUGAGGUUUAAAAAUUCAAUAAAAAAUCACUUAACUCUCCAUAAGAAGCUUUCUACGUUAUACAUACAACCGUACAACGGUAGGGAGAAAGUGGCGAAGAAAGCGGAAGGGAAAGUGGCCUCAAAUGUGCCGUCAAAUGCUGCACACUGGGAGAGUGGCAAAACUGCAGGAAACUAAAGCAAUUCCAAAUGGAAAACUGCUGCAAAUUAAUCAAAUGCCUUUGCAGUACGGAAAGGCGAGAGCGAGACGAAAACGGUCAAAGGACAGGACUUACAACAAAGCACACGAGAACGUCAGUCACUCAGUCAGUCUGUCACAAAGACACAGGCGAACGAUAAAAGCCAAAGGCAAGAGACCCUUUUUCCGAACCCAAACCAACCAAACCCAACCCAACCCUUCAAUAUGCACACACACUAGGGGUGUAUAUACUUAUAUAUCGUAACGCAUUAAAUCGAUAACACGAUUUUUCAGCACGCACACAGCUCCCCGUCGAACCCGGACUGAAAUCCAAAACAACUGGCUGACUGUGAGUUAAAUUGUCAGUUUCAUUACGUGGCAGCUUUCCCAGCUCCUUUUGCUGGCUGCUUCCUGCCCCGGAACUCCGGAACUCCGGAAUGUUCCUUGCUUUUUUAAAGCCAAAUCACUACGUCUGCGCGUGAGCGUUCGCCGUCACUCCGCUUGCAGUGCGACAAGCGAUUUUUCAAGUUGCCGCUUCAUCGUUCUGCCAAGCUGCUCCUCCGGGUUUUUUGUUUGGUUGUGCGGUUUCUGGGUUUCUGCGUUCUGGGCGCCAGCAAACUCAAUUUUCGGCAAAGGGCAGGAACGCAUCGAGAGCGGAGAAGCGAAGCCCCUGGGACUCUCAAGACCGACGAGUCCUGCGUUCUCAAGAACUUAAGGACCUUGACGCUGCUUUUAUAACUCUUCUGCCGCUAUUGAGAUGAUAAUCAUAGAAAAUGGAAACCAGCCCGGCUUACAUAACUAGAGACGUGAGAUGAAAUUAGCUGCAGUUGACCAGAUUCCCCAUUCAUACCUAAGAGAUUCGUGAAACAUGCCAACUGUCAUGUUGCCUGACACUUGCUGCACCUCAUUUGUCUCUAUUUCCCUAACUCCACUGGCCAAUUAUCGUUUAUUUAUACUGCAAUCUGUGGGUCUGGCUGUGGGUCGCGCAGCGUGAAACUGUGAAAUGGAUUUCAAAUUGGUAUGCAGAUGCUGUUGCCGGGAAUAAAUUUGACUAAAUUAUUUAAUACAAAGGCCGUUUUCCUCCAUUGGGCUCUCAACAGGUGCCACGGCAUACUUUUCGACCUCCUCGAAUGUUGCCUAAGCUGCAGCUCAGCCUGGUGGCCGCCCAGAAAGACAAUCAAAUGCUGCAUUCAUAUCAGGCCCCGUCAGUAUAAUCCUUUUGGCGAGCCCCAGAAAAUCAACCAUUCCGUGGGUCAAUUCUAUGUAGGAAGCAUCUGAAUCUGCUCCUCAUCCCCAAGGCCAUCUCCAUACCCAUCCCCAGCCUGCUGUCGUGUACAGUAGCCGCAAGCACAUGUCAGACAAGGUACUGGCAGAAGACAACAAGGAACACGAGUCGAGGUCUCCUGCUAAUGGCUUUCUGGCUUCGAAAGCAAGUUUCAGAUGCCAGAUGAGAUGGGACUCCAACAAUCGAGGCGUAUUCACAUUUUUUGCUUAUGCUUUGAUAAUAAAAACGCAGCAUGCGAGUCGGACUGGGAA